UAUAAAAGUGAUGGGUUACACACUGAUGGAAUCAUAGAAUUUAGAGGAUACAUGCAAUGUUCAGUACUGCCAUGAGGAAAAAAGUGCUCAGGGGCCACUCAGUCAUC
ensembl:snoRNA